rnacentral:tRNA from 1 species
GUUUUAAUAAUUUAAUAAAAAUAUUGGUCUUGUAAACCAAAAAUAAGUAAACACUUUUAAAACA